AGAAACACAUUCUGUACUUGAAAGUAUUUUAUGGUUCUACGCAUCAUUAAUUCCGGCAUUUGAGAAAAUGUUCGAGAAAACUUCUGUAUGAGCUUUCGUAACGUUCGGUUGUGUGACAGUUCAGUGUGGAAGUGAUAAUUCAAAAAAAACGCAGGCGGCAAAAACAAAAUAGGAACUACAUAAUAGAGAAAAACAAGAAGAAGGACAAGGAACACAUAGGACCAAAAAAAAAAUAGAUCUGAAGUUGACAGGACACCUGGUUGUGCAUUGCCUUGAGCAAGACGCGCAUAACCAAUAACAUGUACUGGGUAAAUGAUUAAGGCCCGGUUGUACAAUCGAGGUUCAACUCCGGCUCAGCGCCAUUACCGAGUUCAGGGCAAGAAGUGCGUUGUACAUACAAAGUUUAAGCUUGAGCUCGGUUUAAGCCCGGGUUCAGCUGAGCGGUCGAUGUUCGGCGGUUUAACGCUGGUUCAAGCAUUUUUAACCUCACAUUUUUGUCAUUGUCAACGGAAAUCAUAAUAUUUACACCUUAAAAAUGAACCUCAUUGAAAAUUUAACUAAUAAUGAAGAUUUUCUGGAAAUGGUAAAUAUUCUAGAAGGAAGGAGAACACAGAAACAGUGUAGGUCUAGAGAAAAUCAUUUUGAAAAUGGAAGGAUAAUGCAUUGUUGCAAAGAUUUUGGAUAUCUGUUCACUGUUCACUAUUUGUAUGAAACUAAUAUUGCUCAUAGAAUAAAAAAUCGAACAGAUAGGUAAGAACGAGAACGAAAACAAGUGGCAAAUUUGUUAUUGACAUUUCAAGAACCAAGCUGUAUCUUCUAAGAACAUGGUUUUUAUUGCCUUAAAUUAAGGUUUUGUGCAGUGAAGUGGGCCCAUAUCACUGGUUUUAAGCAACAGGCUCCUUUUUGCAACUUGUGAAUGAUUUUGAAGCAAAUGUAGAAAACGAUUUUGUUAAUUUAUUAAAUUAGAUGUACAUAAUUUAUUAAUAAAUCUUAAAUUAUCAAA